GACGAACGCUGGCGGCGUGCCUAAUACAUGCAAGUUGAGCGCUGAAGGUUGGUACUUGUACCGACUGGAUGAGCAGCGAACGGGUGAGUAACGCGUGGGGAAUCUGCCUUUGAGCGGGGGACAAUAUUUGGAAACGAAUGCUAAUACCGCAUAAAAACUUUAAACACAAGUUUUAAGUUUGAAAGAUGCAAUUGCAUCACUCAAAGAUGAUCCCGCGUUGUAUUAGCUAGGUGGUGCGGUAAAGGCUCACCAAGGCGAUGAGACAUAGCCGACCUGAGAGGGUAAGAGGCCUAGUUGGGCUGGGAGCACGGCCCAAAACCUUGGGGGUGGGACCAGGAGGGAAUCUCCGGGGAUGGACGCAAGUCGGAACGAUGCACGCCGCGUGAGAGCAGGAGGUUUUCAGGUCGUAAAACUCAGGUAGUUGAGAAGAACGUAAGUGAGAGUCGAAAGCGCAUAAAGUGACGGUAACUACCCAAGAAGGGACGGCUAACUACGUG
rnacentral:rRNA from 1 species